UACGUAGGAGGCGAGCGUUGUCCGGAAUCACUGGGUGUAAAGCGCGUGUAGGCGGCCUGCCAAGUCUGCUGUGAAAGCGCCUGGCUUAACCGGGCGAGGUCGGUGGAAACUGGCGGGCUGGAGGACGGUAGAGGGAUGCGGAAUUCCAGGUGUAGCGGUGAAAUGCGUAGAUAUCAGGAAGAACACCUAUGGCGAAGGCAGCUCUCUGGGACGGUACUGACGCUGAGACGCGAAAGCGUGGGGAGCGAACAGG
rnacentral:rRNA from 1 species